GACAUGAUGCAAAGGGCCGCGGGUCGGACUCAAACCCAGGCUGCUGCAGCAAGGACUCAGCCUUUGCACAUGGGGCAUGCAGUCUGGCUGGGAGCUAGCUGGUGCCUCGUUAACACUCUGUUCUGCAGGAGUGGCUGGACAAGUGAUGAGGCACAGCUUUGUGACAAAAGGCAACACCACUAGAGACUUUACAGAGAUGAACUUGAAAUUGCUAGGCAGUGUUUCUGCAUUUGGUAGCUUGAGGCAAUCCAGCGUAGGACGGCUAGGAGCUAGUGGUAAGCCCAGCUUGGUCAUUGGACAACGUCCCUCGGCAUCUCU